UUCUUCCUACCUCUAUCUCAGGAUGUAGCUUAUUCUUCCCAUCUUGUCUCCCUGGCUCUGGCUCCAGGAGCCCAGGGCACUGUGCGCAGCACCCCACGUGGCCACGAGGGGGCGAAACAAGGACACCACCUUUCUCACUUGGAGCAGUGGCAAUCCCAAAGCUGGAGCAAAUCCCGAUUUGACAGGCAGCUGAGAGCCGUGUAGAAUGCCAGGAGACACAAACCUGAAGACGAACCUGCCCCAAUAGAUGAGGGCCUGUGGAGCUACUGACCAGGAGAAAAUCCUGGGACAGGAUUCAGGGGAAAGGACUCCUCCCUGAGAAGACAGCCCAGGUGGUUCCAUGGUGUAAUGGCUGAACUUGUGUAAAUUCCUGGAAAUUAUGACAUCUUCGUUUGUGCAGUUGCCGGAUGUGCUCAUGUUGCUGAUUCAGUUGUGAUGACAGAAAGUGUCUUUCCUCUCUUCCGUGUAGUAUAUGCCAUCCCUGCAGAUGCUGACAGCUCCUGGGCCUAUAAGAUUUUUACCAAGUAUUGGAAGGACAAGAUGUGAACCAAUUCUUGUUGCUGGAGUCUUAAAGACAAGAAAUACCAGAAUGCUCAGGAUACUAGGUAAUAGAAAAAGAGUCACAGAUGAAGUGAGCUAUCACCUACCACCAAACGGGGAGUGGAUCCCUGCCAACCACCACCCAAUGGAGAGUGUCCCCAGAAGCCCACUCCAGAACAUCAAAACCGGAAACCCACGUGGCUGCCACUGAUGGGAUAAAUAAUGGUGCAGCAACAGGAGAGAGGACGAAAGGCGUGUCCAGGAAGCAUAUGUAGUAUGCACAGCCACAGGGUUCAACUUCCGCUCAUGAGACGCAACAGAACUGAAUGAACGUGAGUCACUCACAAGGUCUGAGGUCCAGUCUGAAGGAGGUGCCUGACACGUGCAAGAUUCUACUAGGUUCAGUGAUGUGUCUCAGAUGGGUUUGUUUUAUGGACACAGCCCCUCCAAACUCCCACAACAAUCUGUUCGGACACAACAGAGAAAUUGUUUUUAUCAAAUGAAAGCAGAAACAUUUAUACAGAACAAAAGGAGGAGUAGAAAAUGAUUUUCUCCCCUUGGAUAAGCAGCUUUGUGGGAAGCUAAGAAAGAGGUCACUCUGGCCAGACCUCUCUGAACCCACUUGACUAAUUCGCCAUAGAAGACCAAGUACAGUUAUUAUUUUUUUAACAAGUACAGUUUCUAAGGACUUUAAAUCAUCCCCAGUUCAGCUGUCCAGCAGAUGCAGGAGAGGACCUGUGUGCCAUGUCCAGAGGGCCCACGGUGCUGGGCCUCUCCCCCAGUAACCCAGGAGGGCACCUCCCCUAUCGGAAUAUCAGAGACGGACGCAGGAACUGUGCUGUGCUGGCCAGGAGACUAAGAAGCGACACUGAUAGAGCUGGGAAAGGGAUGGGUAGAUGACAGGGUACCACUUCCGUGGAAGGUAACUUGGCAGAAUCCACUAAAACUGGAAAGAUCAUCGACAGCGGAGCAGCAAGUCUACAUUCAGUUCUCUGCACUCCAGAAACCCCUGCACGGCUAACAAAGAUGCGUGCGCAAGAAUGACGACUGCGGCGCUGUCUAAUAAAAACUGCGAAGCCUGCUUUCAAAGACACUUUGUAAAGGGUGUAUAAAUAAUGCACAAACUAAGGAUGAGGGUUUUUUGUUGUUGUUUUAAGGUUUUUGCCUUAUUGUGCUCACAGGAGAGGAGAGAGACAGUGAGAGGG